rfam:Schistosoma mansoni strain Puerto Rico chromosome 7, complete genome
AACUUUCUAAAUUCGUACCGAGAUAUCAUCAUACAUUAGUCCAUCAAAGCUGAUGAGACUUCCAAGAUAAGUGAAGUA